GUCAGCAGCAGCUUCGCUUUGGC
rnacentral:miRNA from 1 species